GAAGCUGGAUUCGCUAGUAAUCGCGCAUCGGCCACGGCGCGGUGAAUACGUUCCCGGGCCUUGUACACACCGCCCGUCAAGCCAUGGGAGCCGGGGGUACCUGAAGUGCGUGACCGCAAGGAGCGCCCUAAGGUAAAACCGGUGACUGGGGCUAAGUCGUAACAAGGUAAC
rnacentral:rRNA from 1 species